AGUGAACGCUGGCGGUAGGCCUAACACAUGCAAGUCGAACGGCAGCACAGUAAGAGCUUGCUCUUACGGGUGGCGAGUGGCGGACGGGUGAGGAAUACAUCGGAAUCUACUUUUUCGUGGGGGAUAACGUAGGGAAACUUACGCUAAUACCGCAUACGACCUACGGGUGAAAGCAGGGGAUCUUCGGACCUUGCGCGACUGAAUGAGCCGAUGUCGGAUUAGCUAGUUGGCGGGGUAAAGGCCCACCAAGGCGACGAUCCGUAGCUGGUCUGAGAGGAUGAUCAGCCACACUGGAGCUGAGACACGGUCCAGACUCCUACGGGAGGCAGCAGUGGGGAAUAUUGGACAAUGGGCGCAAGCCUGAUCCAGCCAUACCGCGUGGGUGAAGAAGGCCUUCGGGUUGUAAAGCCCUUUUGUUGGGAAAGAAAAGCAGCAGGUUAAUACCCCGCUGUUCUGACGGUACCCAAAGAAUAAGCACCGGCUAACUUCGUG
rnacentral:rRNA from 1 species